rnacentral:rRNA from 1 species
AGAGUUUGAUUCUGGCUCAGAACGAACGCUGGCGGCGUGGAUAAGACAUGCAAGUUGAGCGAUGAACUGACGAUAGCAAUAUCUGACGGGAUUAGCAGCGAACGGGUGAGUAACACGUAGGAAUCUGCCCCAAAGUUCGGGAUAGCUCGGUGAAAGCCGGGGUAAUACCGGAUGUGAUCUUCGGAUUAAAGGCUUCGGUCGCUUUGGGAUGAGCCUGCGUUCCAUCAGCUUGUUGGUAGGGUAAAAGCCUACCAAGGCAAUGACGGAUAGCUGGUCUGAGAGGACGGUCAGCCACAAUGGAACUGAGACACGGUCCAUACACCUACGGGUGGCAGCAGUCGAGAAUCAUUCGCAAUGGACGAAAGUCUGACGGUGCGACGCCGCGUGGGGGAUGAAGGCCUUAGGGUCGUAAACCCCUGUCGGGUGCGAGUAAGGGUAUACAUUACGGCAUACUUAGAUAUUAGCACCAAAGGAAGGGACGGCUAACUCCGUGCCAGCAGCCGCGGUAAUACGGAGGUCCCAAGCGUUGUUCGGAUUCACUGGGCGUAAAGCGUGCGUAGGCGGAGAAAUAAGUUUGGCGUGAAAGCCCCGGGCCCAACCCGGAAAUUGCGUUGAAAACUAUUUCCCUAGAGGAUUGGAGGGGAGACUGGAAUUCCUGGUGUAGCAGUGAAAUGCGUAGAUAUCAGGAGGAACACCGGUGGCGAAGGCGAGUCUCUGGACAAUUCCUGACGCUGAGGUACGAAGGCUAGGGUAGCGAAAAGGAUUAGAUACCCUUGUAGUCCUAGCAGUAAACGGUGUGCACUUGCUGUAGGCGGAUUCGACCCCGUCUGUGGCGAAGCUAACGCGUUAAGUGCACCG